UACGAAGGGGGCUAGCGUUGCUCGGAAUCACUGGGCGUAAAGCGCACGUAGGCGGCUUCUUAAGUCAGGGGUGAAAGCCUGGAGCUCAACUCCAGAACUGCCUUUGAUACUGAGGAGCUUGAGUCCGGGAGAGGUGAGUGGAACUGCGAGUGUAGAGGUGAAAUUCGUAGAUAUUCGCAAGAACACCAGUGGCGAAGGCGGCUCACUGGCCCGGUGCUGACGCUGAGGUGCGAAAGCGUGGGGAGCAAACAGG
rnacentral:rRNA from 1 species